GUGGGGAAUCUUGCGCAAUGGGCGAAAGCCUGACGCAGCGACGCCGCGUGGGGGAUGAAGGCCUUCGGGUUGUAAACCCCUUUCGGCAGGGAAGAAGCGAAAGUGACGGUACCUGCAGAAGAAGCCCCGGCUAACUACGUGCCAGCAGCCGCGGUAAGACGUAGGGGGCGAGCGUUGUCCGGAUUUAUUGGGCGUAAAGCGCGCGUAGGCGGUCCGUUAAGUCGGAUGUGAAAAUCCGGGGCUCAACCCCGGACCUGCAUCCGAUACUGGCGGGCUGGAGGCAGGUAGGGGAGAUCGGAAUUCCUGGUGUAGCGGUGAAAUGCGCAGAUAUCAGGAGGAACACCGGUGGCGAAGGCGGAUCUCUGGGCCUGUCCUGACGCUCAGGCGCGAAAGCUAGGGGAGCAAACAGGAUUAGAUACCCUGGUAGUCC
rnacentral:rRNA from 1 species